CUCCCCCCCCCCCCAGUUUGCUUCUGGUAAUGGCGUUUCAUCACAGCGAUAGAAACCCUAAGGUAACAGGUGAGUGGUAACUUGCUUGACUAUGAUGCUCUGAAGAGUUCUUGUCAGGAGAAAGCAACUGACCCCAGAGCUCAGUAUCUCGACGGCAGCGUGUUCUGAGAACGUGGUACCGAGCUCGGUGACAUGAAAAGGACUCAAACCCAGGACAUCUGGAACACGGAGUCUCCUACAGGCCACAUAACUGGUAUUCUCAACAAAUGAAAUGAAAGCACGGAGGAGAUGGACGUGUCCAUGCAUGGUGCUGAGAAUUUCGCCAUGACCUUACAAUGUGGUAUGUAUCUGUAGAAUGUUAUUCAGCUUAAAAAAAAAUCAGAACUCUCUAUUACUCAGGAAAGAUGGAUUAGCCUAGAAAACUCCUCUGCUGAGUGAAAUAAUGCAGGCACAGAGGAUGAAAACAUCACCGUCUCGAUGAAGUUUGGCAUCUUAUAAAAGAACAGUGAGCACGUGCUGGGGUGAGAAGAGUGAUAGGGAGCCUAGGCCUGGGUGGGAAGUAAGAGGAGCAACAGUUCCUGGCUUUGGGGUGCAGAGCCUCAUCUAGACAGGAAAGCAAACUGACAUCUAUUUAAACACUGGGACGUCGGGUCGGCAAUAAUGGACUGUAUAUUCAGAAGAACAAGAAAGACAGUUACCAUGACAUCACCUCAAAACUGUCAGGUAAUUAAAGUGAUGGAUAAGUUCAUUAAUGUGGACCUAAUUCACCUUGCAUUGUACACAGAUAUCAGAUCAUUGCGUUCUAUGCCAAAUCCGUGAAGUAAAUACUCUUAGGAGCUGUCACUUAUUAUAAACUUUAAGACAGCUUUUAGGGAUGAAGAAAGACCGGUAAAGAUAUAAAACCAAGUUCAAUGUGAGGACCUUGUUUAAAUUUCACACAGCUGUCAGUAAAACCAUCUGGCAAAGGAGAGGCCUUCCAGUCUAUCAGUCUCUUAACUAAUAAAGAAAAAGUUAAACAUUUACCUACCCCGUUGACCCAGAAAUUUCACCUCUAGUUAUUUACACAAAAGAAAUGAAAACAAGCCCCAAACAGACACGCAUAGAAAGCUCACAGGUGUCCUGUUUGUCAGAGCCAAAACAUUGCUGAAAUGUAGCAAAGAUCUAUCACGAGAAGAGCGGGUCAGUGGAUGACGCAAACACGUCAUUGGAUGGGGACAUUCCCACUAAGCUCUAGAACGCUGGAAGGUAAACCAGUGCUCGGCUCCUGAAGGAAGGUUGACUGGGAACAGAGAUAAGCACGUUUUCUGAAGGAUACAGAUGCUCUAUCUCGAGAAGGAUGUGGGUUACACACUUCCCCGUGCACUCGUCACAGCUAAUUGAAGUGUACACUCAGAAUUUACACAUGUCAUUCUAAGGAGAGUUUACCUUUUGAAAGGGAAUAUAAACAAAUACAGAAGUCUAGUCAAUAGGUUCUCUUCACAGCGACAUGGGUGAACAAUCCUGAAAGCACAGUCUGUUAUUCUAGUCUUGAGCAAUUAAGUCAACGCGCCGCGGGAGGAGGACAUGUGGACAGGGCAUUGUGUAAGAGGGGAACAGCCAGGGCGCGCUGGUUGGGGCUGGUAGCACAGAGCAGCCAGCAUAGUCCGCAAGUGCAUCUGGGCUUCUCAAUCCUGUCCUCCACCAAGAGCAUCAAGAACCCCUUACAAAUGCUGACCCCAGAGCCAGAACAGGAGAAAACAUCUUGUUAAAGCUAAAAAUCAAGGAAAUACUUACUAAAAAUGGUACAUGGAAAGGUACAGGACUUGGCUCUAUACCAAGUCCAUUGGCCAAAUUUAAGAAAGCUUGACCAUCAAAAAUAAAAUAAUAAGAUAAAAUAAAAUUUGGAUGGGCAAGAUGCCUUAGCUGGUAAAAGCAUUUGCAGUAUGCUGUGUAGCAGUUUCCUCCAGAUUGAACCAUUCAUUCUGAGGAGGAAGCUCCUUAAAACAAAAAGAAAACACUCAAAAUAGCUUCAGGAAGUCCCUGAUAUUGAGCAGAUUCACUACCCACCCCUCCGAGAUUUUUUUUUUCACAUAAAAGGUUUAUUUUGAAUGUUUUAAGGAAGAAUAGAGUUACAUCCUAAUUAUAAAAAUUACAGAAUUAACAGAGUUGGACUGUGUAUACUUCUAAAUGCAGAGAACAGGGAAUAGUCUACACAUUGUAUAAAAUAAAAUUAAAAUUAAAAAUUAAUUCAAACUCAAGAAAAUGAGGUCAUUUAUCUAGUUAUAAAUGUGAACAUGAAGACCUCUGAACUCUACUCGUUCAUUCGAACUGCACUAAUGAUGGAGAAUACAGAGAGUGCUGCAUUCCCAAGGAACACAGACAUUUCGACCAUGAUUACUUCUAAGUAUUGUAUACUUAGAUAAAGAUUGUUAAGACUCUCAGACAAGCCCAGCCACCUGAAAGAAGCAGAUACUGUCCCCAGUGGCUUGGAAGAGGCCAAUGGCAACCUAACUGUGUAGAUGAAACAAAGAACAACUGAAAACAACUCGGAAGAUCUUCAGCCAACCGACUCACCUAGAAAGGACACUCUCUAAUCCAUGGAGCCACCCACGGGCUAGACAGUGUUCCAGGGUCCCACACCUCGCCUAUACUGCAGGGGACUUCGCUGACUCAGCUCUCUUAAAGUCAUUCUGCUCCUGGAAGUGACCCUUCACCUGAAUUCCUGUAAAUAACCCCAAUAAAACUCACUGUUCACCAGGUUGGACCUUGGUGCUCCACCUCC